UAGCUCAGUUGGUUAGAGCGCCUGAUUGUGGUUCAGGAGGUCGUCGGUUCGAGACCG
rnacentral:tRNA from 1 species